AAAGUCAAAAAAAAAAGGAAUAAUUUCACAUGGUAUGUCGAAAAUAACAACAACGAGAAAGCACUUAUUUCCAUACUUGGAGUUCGUUUCGCUUAGCAUCAUCUUACGCGUUCAUAUGUACACAUAGCUAUUGAGCUAUUGUGAUCUUC